rnacentral:rRNA from 1 species
AAACUGAUCUUCCCGUGAAGAAGCGGGAAUAUACCUAUAAGACGAGAAGACCCCAUGGAGCUUUAAAUCCAACAGCACCUAUUACCCAUACAUCUUUAUAUUUUUUUAGCAAAUGCUCGUUCGGUUUUAGGUUGGGGUGACCAUGGAGUAAAAAAUAACCUCCACGAAAAAAGGCAUAAAACCCUUAUCAAAGAGCCACAUCUCUAUGAAUUAGUAAACUAAUUUCUGAUGAUCCGAUAUUCGAUCAACGAACCAAGUUACCCUGGGGAUAACAGCGCAAUCCGCCUUAAGAGCCCCUAUCGACAGGCGGGUUUACGACCUCGAUGUUGGAUCAGGGUAUCCCAGUGGUGCAACAGCUACUAAAGGUUCGUUUGUUCAACGAUUAAAACCCU